CAUCAAUGAUGCUGGAUGAUGUGUUUUGCACCAAAGUUGAAUACUUAUUGUAACUGUAAGUACAGCAAUAGCAAUUGUGAUGUUUGUCAUGUGUGUGUGUGUUAGUUACUGAGCUGUUUACUGGAACCAUAAUCAUGAUCUUUACUACUGUCAUUCAUUCAUUAAAGCGUGUGUGUGUUUGUAUGUCUACCCACAAUCUCUUUUCUCUGUCACACAAUCCUUUUCCUUCCUCAUUGAUUAGUUAGCGAUCUCAACAAUUCAAACAAGUGAGUAAACCAAUUCCUUGGCCCCCUUAACCGGUUUACCCCUAAUUAAGGAAGUCAACUGUUAGUCAUACUUAUCUUUAUUAGCAUGAGCGCACAUGUGUGGUCGUCACAUCAAGUGUAAGAAAACCGUUGGCAAAUAGCUAAUGAAAAAGAAAAUAGUCAGGCCAAUAAAACUCAUUUAGAAUAGAACUUUAUUACAUCACGCUGACGUUUUGUGAUCAAUGAUUUUGGGGGUACAAAUAGGCUGGGAAUAAAAACCAGACAAGAACCACCGGACAACAGCUAAAGUGCUACGAGAACAUCAAACUGAGGGUGUGGAAAUGUCUGUUCUCACAAGUCUGACGCAAGUGUCCAUCCUUGCGAUAUUUCUCAUCCAGUGCGCGACCAGCCUUCCGGUUCUGGACAGGUAUCUUGGAGAAGAGGACAGCAUCUCAACAGCGGACACAUUUUCUCCUAGAAAGAUGUUGUUUCCUAGGGAUGAUGCAGAUAUGCUUUUUGAUGACCGAGACGGGAGAUCUGGGCUUCAGACGAGGCAGUUGGGCGACAUCGAGUUCACAAACAGAUAUGCUGAACUCCUGAAAUCCAAAGCUAAAAUCACAUCCAUCUGCGCCCUCCUGAAACGCAUGCAAAGCAGCAAGAAAAGGUAAAGCCUCCGAUAUGCUCAUCCAAAUCAAGAGAUCUUUUGAUUUACAUUUGUGCGCUUGAUAUUUGCAGCUAAGUUCCCUGAUAACACACGUAGGCCUACAUCAC
rnacentral:lncRNA from 1 species